CUUUGACAAAAUGGCGCAAAAUGUCACGAAUUUAUCAUGCAUCAAGUUAUAUUUUCUUUAGUAUAAUAAUUACAUUCGUUUAGUUAAGCAACUUGUUUAUGAUAAUUGUAGAAAAGUGUAGAAAAAUGACACCUGCAUUAUAUCCUGGGAUGAAGAAACGUUAUUUUAUGUCGAUUUCUUUAGAUGACAAAGGAGGUAACCAAAUAGCAUAUCUUACAAAAUCUGAGGACAAUAAUAAGGAUCGUUUAUCAAGGUUAAAAUAAUUAUUUUACUAAAUUAAGACAUUAACAUAUCCAUGUGUUCGACAUAACCUCACUUCUUAAAUCUCUUAAAUUAGUCGGUUGAGAAGCGGAUCGAGAAUGAUUGUUUGAAUAUAAGUCGUACAAAAUUGGAAUGAAACGAUGAACAAUAUACAGAUCUUUAGACAGGCUCAAAUAAUGUAUGUUUAGGAGCAACUUGAAGAUAAUGGAGAUUUAUCUUCUUAAUAUAAAACCUCUAAAAUUGGGAACAGUAUGUCAUAUAUGCAUGAACUUGAUUGAUGUAUUGAUGUAUAAUGAACUGAAGAUAUAAUGAAUUCAAUCAGGUUAAAAAAAAUGUAUGUGCAAAAGCGACUCGAAGACGAUUUAGAUUUGUCUCCUGAAUAUAAAACUUCCAAGAAGUACAUCAUAUAUGAAUAUCCUGUAUCCUCGCAUUUGAUGUAUUGAACUGGCGAUAGAAUGAAAUCAGUCAGUGUUAAAAAUGUAUGUGUAAAAGCGACUUUAAGAUGAUGGAGAUUUGUACACUGAACAUAAAACUUCCAAAAUUUGGGGCAGUAUGUCAUAUGUGCAUAAUCUGUAUCCUGGCAUUUGAUGCAAUGAACUGGCGAUAGAAUGAAAUAAUGAAAAAUAGGCAGGCUGUUUGAUGUAUAAGGAAGUGGCGAUAGAAUACUUAUGCAACACUUCACACUUCACGCCCCAAAAAUAGAAUUACGUUCAUUAGAUAUACAACAAUUUUCAUUAAAUAUACUGUUAUUAAUAUGUUAAGAUUGAAUAAUUUGUAAAAAGUUUUCUAGUAUAGUUC